UGGUAUAACGCAGUCAGCCGUAGUUGAACGCGUUGAGUGUUUGCGACAUUUGGACGUGGUGCGGUCGUAUCGAAAAUUUGUGUGCGGAAGAAACGCACCGAAAAAUUAAACAGCCAUUACAAAACAGGAGAAAAAAAAUAUACAAGUGUACAUAAAAGCCAUUGUGCGCCGAUUUUAGGCUUUCAAAAUAUAUUUGAAG